rnacentral:rRNA from 1 species
GGAAACGGAUAGAGCCAGCGAAGUCGCCUGUAUUCAGCCAAAGGCCCAGCGCUACCACUCGUCGAGAUUUUCAUCGAGCUCGACGAUUGGCCUGCUCUGGGUUGAGGUGCACUUGCGGGCGUUUGCGCCGAGACUUGUGCGGUAGCGGUUGGACCCGAUGACUAGAGGCCUCCAUCUGGGUUGUACCUGGUCCCGGUGACAGCUGUUUGCCGUGCUCGUAGCUUUGGGCCUGGGCGCUAAAUCUUGCGGUCGCUGUUCGACGCUGGUUUCGCAUGCGAUGCCUAGUCGAGCGGUUGUCGCUGUGAGGUUUGGCAAUCGGGUUAUUCCACUCUCGGUGUAGAAGCUGGUCAUCUCUCCGACCCGUCUUGAAACACGGACCAAGGAGUUUAGCGUAUGCGCGAGUCAUUGGGUGCUGCAAACCCACAGGCGUAAUGAAAGUAAAGGCUCGGUCGCCGGGCUGACAUGCGAACGGUGGUCCGUCGGGGCCGCCGUGCAGCAUGGUCCCGUCGCAGUCGCAUGCGACGCGGCGGAGACAGAGCGUAUGCGCUGAGACCCGAAAGAUGGUGAACUAUUCCUGAGCAGGACGAAGCCAGAGGAAACUCUGGUGGAAGUCCGAAGCGAUUCUGACGUGCAAAUCGAUCGUCUGACUUGGGUAUAGGGGCGAAAGACUAAUCGAACCAUCUAGUAGCUGGUUCCUUCCGA